AUACGGAGGGGGUUAGCGUUGUUCGGAAUUACUGGGCGUAAAGCGCACGUAGGCGGAUUAGUAAGUUAGAGGUGAAAUCCCAGGGCUCAACCCUGGAACUGCCUUUAAUACUGCUAGUCUUGAGUUCGAGAGAGGUAAGUGGAAUUCCGAGUGUAGAGGUGAAAUUCGUAGAUAUUCGGAGGAACACCAGUGGCGAAGGCGGCUUACUGGCUCGAUACUGACGCUGAGGUGCGAAAGUGUGGGGAGCAAACAGGAUUAGAUACCCUGGUAGUCCACGCCGUAAACGAUGGUUACUAGCUGUUUGGACCUUGUGUCUGAGUGGCUAAGCGAAAGUGAUAAGUAACCCACCUGGGGAGUACGUUCGCAAGAAUGAAACUCAAAGGAAUUGACGGGGGCCCGCACAAGCGGUGGAGCAUGUGGUUUAAUUCGAUGAUACGCGAGGAACCUUACCAGGGCUUAAAAUGUAAGUUGCAUUAGUUAGAGAUAACUAUUUCUUCGGACCACUUACAAGGUGCUGCAUGGUUGUCGUC
rnacentral:rRNA from 1 species